CUCUCCUUCUUGCAUAUAGUUGUGGCUUGGAGAGACUGGAGAGGGAGUUGUAUUUACAUGUGUGUUGGGCCCUGACACUUCAGUUGUUCCCAGCCUGGAUCUUGUAGAAAAGUUCUUAGCAACUGUGGGUGGAACAUUUGCGUUCAUGUUUAGUAUAAAUACAGCUGACCCAAAUGACUUAGGAGCAGCAACACAAAGCUCAGGAAGACAAUAGAGAGAGAGCUUUCCUUUCCAGAGUUCUUAGACUUUUUUCUGACCCUAUGAUUCCAGCCUAGGUUCUGUGCUAGAUUCUCACCUGUGCCUGCCUUGUCCCCAGAACCAGGAUGGAGGUGUUCGUUUCUCUCCAGCUCCUCCUCACCCCCCUGCUUCCUGGCCACUAAGCAGUGAACAGCUUUCCUGUGACAUGUUGUUCUGCCAUGACAUUUCUGCCUUAGAGCCAGCCAACCACCAUCUGAAUCCACUGAAACCGCCUAAAAGCAGUGGAGGUACCUGACCAUGGAUUGAAGCCUCUGAAACCAUGAGCCAAAGCAGACAGC
rnacentral:lncRNA from 1 species